AAAGGAUGUGGAGUUGCGUAGACAACCAGGAGGUUGGCUUGGAAGCAGCCAUCCUUGAAAGAGUGCGUAAUAGCUCACUGGUCGAGUGGUUCUGCGCCGACAAUGUAGUGGGGCUCAAGUACACCGCCGAAGCCGCGGCAAGCAACAAUUUUUUGUUGUUUGGGUAGGGGAGCGUCGUGCAUGGGUUGAAGCGUUACCGUAAGGAGGCGUGGACUGUGUGCGAGUGAGAAUGCAGGCAUGAGUAACGAAUUGUAAGGUGAGAAUCCUUACCGCCGGAUGACUAAGGGUUCCUGGGUGAAGUUUAUCUUCCCAGGGUGAGUCGGGGCCUAAGGCGA
rnacentral:rRNA from 14 species